CCAAAUUUGGGAAACCCCAGAGUCUUAUAAGUCACAGGAAGGGAGAGAUGAGACAGGAGAAAGAAGAAAAAACAGCAGCGGUGUGCUGGUGCCAACUCCCGCAGCCUUAGGAGAGCAGAGGGUUAAUUUUUCAGGAAGUCUGCAAGCCGGUUGUGAAAUCUGUUGGGUAGCUUGAAAUCAGUGGUGGCAGGAGUAUUUACACCGUGGGAACAGGCAAAAUCAGAACACACCACUGGAAAUGAAUAUUCUUCGCCCAACUUUUGGAUUUCCAAAUCCUAGCCCUCAGAGAAAAAUGGAAAGGACUCUUGCCUAGAAAAUCAAGUAGGACAUUUCCUGGACUAUGGCAAGAGGAAAAACAGAGGGAAAGAGAGCAUACUCUAAGAAUAUCAGGGCUGUCAGCCUCAUUUUGUGUUCUUCCCUCUACCUCACCUUUUGAACCCAUGUAAGUAAACAUUUACAAGACUGCAGAAUAACAGCAAACACAUAACGGUAAACAUACUGAUGCACCGUACCCAAAGAAAUGACUUCAUAAGCAAAAUGGAGAGAAAAAAGCUAUUAUAACAGGCCGGGUGAGGUGGCUCAGGCCUAUAAUCCCAGCAAGGCUGAGACAGGCGGAUCACUUGAGGUCAGGAGUUUGAGACCAGCCUGGUCAACAUGACGAAACCCCAUCUCUAUUAAAAAUACAAAAAUUAGCUGGGUGUGACGGUGUGCACCUGUAAUCCUAGCUACUUGGAAGGCUGAGGCAUGAGAAUCACUUGAACUGGGGAGGCAGAGGUUGCAGUGAGCCAAGAUCAGGCCACUGCACUCCAGCCUGUGUGAGAGAGUGAGACUCCUUCUCAAAAGAAAAAAAAAGUUCUAACAAUUCAUAAGUACAAUCUUUCUUUUUAUUUUCUUCUUUCCACUUGGUAUGUCAAAAUAUUUCAGUUCAUCUCCAUUUUAACACUUCUCUGGUACAUUCUGUUAAUCUCUAUUUUAUUAAAUGGAGAUUACAUUAUAACAGUUACCUGAUGCAUAGAAUGUAGCAACCAUGUCAAUAAACACAAAGUAUAUAAUAAAUAUUUUAUUUCUUCAAAUAUAGAAUUAUGUAUUUUUUCAUAUAAAGGAAGAAAUUCUCCGUUUUUAAAAAUAAUUAUAUUUGCUACUACUAUGUUUACAUUUUAUCAAACCCAAUUUUCUCUUAUUUCUCUAUAGUAUCGUAAGUAUAUACUACUAACAAAAGUAUUGUUUCUUCUUUUUUUUUUUGACAGAGUCUCGCUCUGUCACCCUGGAGUGCAGUGUGCGAUCUUGGCUCACUGCAAGCUCCACCUCCCGGG
rnacentral:lncRNA from 1 species